UAAGUGACAGUCAGUCACUUCAGCUUGCAACAGGCAGAGCGAGGAAGGAGAGAGAAGAAGAAGAAGAUCACUGCUUGAGAAAAAUACCAAACACCCCGUCAAUAACACCACAAGAUGGCCGGUAGGACGAAUGGACUGGAAAAUUAUUUUCUCUUUGAAAAAGUGUGAGAGCGAGAAAACAAAGUGCAUUUUAAUAUAUUUUUCUAGACAAGACUAAUUUCUUCGGUGAAUCAUCAUCAUCCACAGAGCCGACGACCCAUUCUCGAUUUGAAGAAGAAGAAGAAGAAGACUUUAACCUGACCCGGGAUGAUUUUGAUGAGCUGGACAGGCUCGAUAAUCAGACUCGAAAUCUGACCUCGACAGCCAGUGAAGUCCCAGGACCUUCAAACACAGGCCGUCAGAAUCUGACAAGAAAUAGGUCAAUUAUCACGGAUUCUCUACAAGAGUUAUCCUCUCUCCGUACCAGGGUUUUUCCUCCAAAUCGAGAAGACACUCCAGGGACUUCUGGUUCUGCAGUAAGAGCUCGCUUUUCCCGGGCUCUGAGCCGUUUCGACGACAUUGAUCACACUCAAGUCUCGGGAGACCUCAACAACCUCUGUACUUCCGAUCUCCUGUUCGCACCUGGUCGAGUAGAAACCGCUGUCAAUACAAGCG